GAGGAGCGCAGCCAUUACACUUGAUCUUAAAUCUUUAGAAAACGUCGUGCGGAUUGCACUGGCCAAUCAGUUUUCUCUACAAAUUCCGUGACAGUAUUCUGAAAUUAGCACUCAAAUCCGAGCGGGAUUUUCGCGAUCUCUGCUUAGGAAAGUUGUGAAACUUUAUAAACCGGGUUACUUCACAAGGUGUAGCGCGUCUGCUAGUGUCAGUGUUUCUCAGCUCGCAUCUCACGCGCGCUUUGAUGCAGCGCGAUGAUGGGCACACCUCUGAAGAACGAGCCGUCUGCUGCUGGUUGCAUGCCGUUGUGUUCUGACCUUACGUCUACCGGCGACUCGACUGCACGAGCAUCAUCACAGCAGCGCGAGCAGAUCGAGGCCCCGACUCCUGUUUUACUCUAUCCCAUCAGCGUUAACAGUGCUUUAUCAUCUUCACCCAUUUUUAACAACAAAGUCCCACAUGAUGAUGGAUAAUAUACUAGGAAAGACUAAAUUUGCUCAGAGAGGCCCUGCUUCAGCCACUCUUGUUGGAUUUGCAACCACAGCCAAAGCAGGUGUAAGAUCAGAGGAUCAUGCGUCUAACAGCAUGCCGGUGGCUGCAAUGACCGCCUCGUGCCUCCUUCCCACUGGAAUCAUCACAUCCUCUUCCCAGAUCCCUACUCUUGUGACGUCCCCGGUGCUGUGCAAAGUUACCCCAAAAUUAAACCCCAGCCCCUCUUGUAGCACAGACACACCUCUGCCCUCCCUUUCACCAAAGCCAGUGCCGCUGGUGAACCGUCAGCCGCUGAAGCGGAGGCUACACCAUCUUCGGCUCAACUCCAUGGCCUCUCGUGUAGCUCAGCAGCAGGGGCAAUCUGAGGAACGCACCGCUCUUCUUCGCAGUUUCCUCACCGCUCAAGAAGAGCGCAUCCAUUUAGACGAGCAACACCAACGCAAGGUAGAUGUGCGUGAGCGACGCAAGGAAAAAUCAGCACGGGCCAUGGCUGAUGCGAUGGGGAGGAUGGCGACGGCACUGGAGCUGAUCUCAUCCAAGCAGGACACCAUUAUCGCUCUACUCCAGAGACUGGCUGAUAAGCACUAAUAUUGCUUUUAUAACAAAAUUGCAUUUAAUUUAAAGUAUAUAAAGUGUGUCCUGUUGUUCAUGGUACAAGUAAUUGAUUUGGG
ensembl:lncRNA